rnacentral:rRNA from 1 species
UACGUAGGGUGCGAGCGUUAAUCGGAAUUACUGGGCGUAAAGCGUGCGCAGGCGGCUGUGCAAGACAGGUGUGAAAUCCCCGGGCUUAACCUGGGAACUGCACUUGUGACUGCAUGGCUGGAGUACGGCAGAGGGGGAUGGAAUUCCGCGUGUAGCAGUGAAAUGCGUAGAUAUGCGGAGGAACACCGAUGGCGAAGGCAGCUUCUUGGUCCAUAUCUGACGCUCAUGCACGAAAGCGUGGGGAGCAAACAGG